CCUACGGGUCGCUCCAGGCGAGAAAACUUUGCAAUGUGCGAAAGCACGACAAGGUUAAUCCGAGUGGUUUCUGCUAAAGAAACCUUUUGUUAGUCCUAGAAACACUGAUGAAUAAGGGGUGGGCAAGUUCUGGUGUCAGCCGCCGCGGUAAAACCAGCACCUCAAGUGGUCAGGAUGAUUAUUGGGCCUAAAGCAUCCGUAGCCGGCUAUGUAAGUUUUCGGUUAAAUCUGUGCGCUUAACGUACAGGCUGCCGGGAAUACUGCAUAGCUAGGAAGUGGGAGAGGUAGACGGUACUCGGUAGGAAGGGGUAAAAUCCUUUGAUCUAUUGAUGACCACCUGUGGCGAAGGCGGUCUACCAGAACACGUUCGACGGUGAGGGAUGAAAGCUGGGGGAGCAAACCGGAUUAGAUACCCCAGUAGUC
rnacentral:rRNA from 1 species